CCUACGGGAGGCAGCAGUGAGGAAUAUUGGUCAAUGGGCGCGAGCCUGAACCAGCCAAGUCGCGUGAGGGAAGACGGUCCUAUGGAUUGUAAACCUCUUUUGUCGGGGAGCAAAAGACGGACGUGUCCGGCUGUUAGAGUACCCGAAGAAAAAGCAUCGGCUAACUCCGUGCCAGCAGCCGCGGUAAUACGGAGGAUGCGAGCGUUAUCCGGAUUUAUUGGGUUUAAAGGGAGCGUAGGCCGCAUGUCAAGCGUGCUGUGAAAUGUCCGGGCUCAACCCGGGCCUUGCAGCGUGAACUGGCGUGCUGGAGUCCGCGGAAAGCAGGCGGAAUUCGUCGUGUAGCGGGGAAAUGCUUAGAUAUGACGAAGAACCCCGAUUGCGAAGGCAGCUUGCUGCAGCGGAACUGACGCUGAUGCUCGAAAGCGCGGGUAUCGAACAGGAGUAGAUACCCUUGUAGUC
rnacentral:rRNA from 1 species